UUAAUCUGUUCCUGCCAGACAAGAUACUGUUUCACAUCCUGACUUACAGAGCUCUCCUAGAUGUCUUGACCACAGGCAGCAGCCUCCAAUGCUCCUUAUCUGAUCUGAUGAAUUUCUUCAGAUCAAACACAUCCAGCUCCUUAUCUGACAUCAGCAUCACAAAGGCCAGAGCCGAGUACUGUGCAGGUGAGAGGUCUUCUGCUGAAAGACGUCCUGAAUUCAGGUAUCUUUGUACUUCCUCUACUAGAGAGUUGUCACCCAGCUCAUUAAGACAGUGGAAGAGGUUGAUGGUCCUUUCUGGAGAUAAAUUCUCCUGUAUUUUCUCCUUGAUGUAUUGAGCUGUUUCUGUAAUGUUAUGUGAGCUGGUUCUUGUCUGUCCCAGUAGGCAUUUUAAGGAUGUUAUUAAAGUCUUAUGUGAGCUGGUUUCUGUCUGUCCCAGUAGUCUUUGUAACAGAGUCUUACUGGAGUCUGUUGAGAGGCCCAGGAGGAAGCGGAGGUAGAGGUCCAAGUGUCCAUUCUUGCUCUUUAAUGCCUGAUCCACUGCAGUCUUCAGCAGGUCAGCAGAUGAGUUUGAGAGAAACGCAUAUAAAGCAGCGAGAUACUCUUGGACGCUCAGAUGCACAAAGCAGUACACCUUCUCCUGAUACAGCCCAUAUUCCUCUUUAAAGAUGUCUGUGCACAAUCCAGAGUAAACUGAAGCUUCACUGACAUCAAGGUCAUUCUCUAUCAGAUUUUGCUCAUAAAAUAUGAGAUUGCCUUUCUCAAGGUUGUCAAAAGCCAGCUUACCAAGUUUUAUCAGGGAUUUCUUACUAGAUUCAAAACAUUUAUUAAGCUUGGUUUCACUUUUUUUCAUGUACUUGUCAUUUUUUAAACUUGUCUGAAAGAUCAGGAAGUGUGUGUACAUUUCAGUCAGA